rnacentral:rRNA from 1 species
AUUGAACGCUGGCGGCGGGCCUAACACAUGCAAGUCGAGCGGAUGAAGGGAGCUUGCUCCUGGAUUCAGCGGCGGACGGGUGAGUAAUGCCUAGGAAUCUGCCUGGUAGUGGGGGAUAACGUCCGGAAACGGGCGCUAAUACCGCAUACGUCCUGAGGGAGAAAGUGGGGGAUCUUCGGACCUCACGCUAUCAGAUGAGCCUAGGUCGGAUUAGCUAGUUGGUGGGGUAAAGGCCUACCAAGGCGACGAUCCGUAACUGGUCUGAGAGGAUGAUCAGUCACACUGGAACUGAGACACGGUCCAGACUCCUACGGGAGGCAGCAGUGGGGAAUAUUGGGCAAUGGGCGAAAGCCUGAUCCAGCCAUGCCGCGUGUGUGAAGAAGGUCUUCGGAUUGUAAAGCACUUUAAGUUGGGAGGAAGGGCAGUAAGUUAAUACCUUGCUGUUUUGACGUUACCAACAGAAUAAGCACCGGCUAACUUCGUG